UACAGAGGUCUCAAGCGUUGUUCGGAUUCAUUGGGCGUAAAGAGCUCGUAGGCGGUCUGUUGCGUCGGUUGUGAAAACCUGGGGCUCAACUCCAGGCCUGCAAUCGAUACGGGCAGACUAGAGUUCGGUAGGGGAGACUGGAAUUCCUGGUGUAGCGGUGAAAUGCGCAGAUAUCAGGAGGAACACCGGUGGCGAAGGCGGGUCUCUGGGCCGAAACUGACGCUGAGGAGCGAAAGCGUGGGGAGCGAACAGG
rnacentral:rRNA from 1 species